AGACCUUGGUAGCCUCCUUACUUGCUCCAAUUGCUUCAGAGAGAGAAGUGCGGGUGUGCAGGAUAGUGAAGGAGCAAGGCUCAUGUGAAUAGAAGAAUCCAAGGUAAAGCAGGAAGAGAAAUCCAGCUAGAGAAAGAGGUGGAAGUCAAAAUAAAUAGACUAUUUUUUUAAAUUUUUAAUGGCUUCUUGGUGGCUUCAAGAUAAAAGAUAGACAAUGAGGAGCUUUGUGUCUGGGAAAAGAAUAAAAGUCAACUGUAGCAAAACCUCUCAGAAGUAGGAUUUAUAAACAGUUCUCAAAGGAUGCACAUGAAAAUGUAAUUUCUUGGGAAAGCGGCAAACAGAAAAGAAUCAAACAAACCUCAGUUGUGUGUGGCAAGGAUAAAUACGCAAUGCAUCAUCAAUAGUAUUUGUUGGGUGAAUAAAAAAGCCUUUUAGCCAACAAUAUGUAAGCAGAAGAAUGGAGCAGGAGUUAGAGAGAAUCCUCAAGCAAUAAUGGAGGCCGCUGGAGAGGCAAGACUGCCAAAGGCUAAGUUAUUGACCCAGUAUUUUUAAAACUGCCUCCGAAAAGAAGCCUGAAUGAAAGAAAAUAAUUUGUGCAAUUAGAAUGUAUUUUUCCUUUGUGUUCCUAUCUACUUCCUUCACAAGCUAUUUUUGAUUGAUUUUUCUGAGAACAAAAUAAAUAUCCACAGUGAGUCACAAAUGUAAAUGUAUUGAGUGCCCAGUGUAUGGAGCCCUUUCUCCAAGACCUCGCUGCCGUAACUACAAACACAACUGAGAACUGGUGAUUUGAAGAUGAUUCUUGGGAUAGCGGGCUAGACGGCACUUCACACUGGCUUUUGGGGCCACAUAGGGGUGUAACAUGUUAUCACUCUGCACAACCCCAGAGGGUACCAUACACAACCCAUUUGACCAAACAUGGCAGUCCUGAAAGGAAUGAUGAUUGAAAGCCAAGACUGAGCUUUGGCAAGGAAACCACCUCUGGAUUACCAACUCAUUGUCUAUAAUGUAGUGAUAGCAUCUACCUCUUAGUAAUUUUGUGAACAUUAAAUGAAUAAAGCAUGAGAAAAA
rnacentral:lncRNA from 1 species